rnacentral:rRNA from 1 species
AACGAACGCUGGCGGCAUGCCUAACACAUGCAAGUCGAACGAAACCGUCGGGUCUAGUGGCGCACGGGGGCGGAACGCGGGGGAACCUGCCCGUAGGUUCGGAAUAACUCCCCGAAGGGGGUGCUAAUACCGGGGAAGGUCUUCCGACCAAAGAGUUAUCGCCUUUGGAUGGGCGCGGGUUGGAUUAGGUGGUUGGGAGGGUAAAAGCCUACCAAGGCGACGAUCCAUGGCUGGUCUGAGAGGAUGCCCAGGCACGCUGGGACUGAGACACGGCCCAGACGGCUACGGAAGGGUGCAGUGGAGAAUAUUGGACGCUGGGCGCAAGCCUAAUAACGCCAUGCCGGGUGAGAGAUGCAGGGGUUAGGAUUCUACAGCUGUCUGACCCGGGACGAGAAUGACGGUACCGGGUGAAUAAGCACCGGCUAACUACGUG